UUGAUCAUGGGCUCAGGAUGAACGCUAGCGACAGGCUUAACACAUGCAAGUCGAGGGGCAGCGGGGAAGUAGCAAUACUUCCGCCGGCGACCGGCGCACGGGUGAGUAACACGUAUGGAACCUGCCCGUAGCAGGGGGAUAAGCGGAAGAAAUUCCGUCUAAUACCGCGUAAUAACUCCGAGAGGCAUCUCAUGGAGUUUAAAGGGUAACACCGGCUACGGAUGGCCAUGCGGCGCAUUAGCUAGUUGGCGGGGUAACGGCCCACCAAGGCGACGAUGCGUAGGGGUUCUGAGAGGAAGGUCCCCCACACUGGUACUGAGACACGGACCAGACUCCUACGGGAGGCAGCAGUGAGGAAUAUUGGUCAAUGGGCGCGAGCCUGAACCAGCCAAGUCGCGUGAGGGAAGACGGUCCUAUGGAUUGUAAACCUCUUUUGUCGGGGAGCAAAAGACGCCACGUGUGGCGUUCCGAGAGUACCCGAAGAAAAAGCAUCGGCUAACUCCGUGCCAGCAGCCGCGGUAAUACGGAGGAUGCGAGCGUUAUCCGGAUUUAUUGGGUUUAAAGGGUGCGCAGGCGGAAGAUCAAGUCAGCGGUAAAAUUGAGAGGCUCAACCUCUUCGAGCCGUUGAAACUGGUUUUCUUGAGUGAGCGAGAAGUAUGCGGAAUGCGUGGUGUAGCGGUGAAAUGCAUAGAUAUCACGCAGAACUCCGAUUGCGAGGGCAGCAUACCGGCGCUCAACUGACGCUCAUGCACGAAAGUGUGGGUAUCGAACAGGAUUAGAUACCCUGGUAGUCCACACAGUAAACGAUGAAUACUAAUUGUUCGGGGAGAAUGAUCCCUGAGUGAUACAGCGAAAGCGUUAAGUAUUCCACCUGGGGAGUACGCCGGCAACGGUGAAACUCAAAGGAAUUGACGGGGGCCCGCACAAGCGGAGGAACAUGUGGUUUAAUUCGAUGAUACGCGAGGAACCUUACCCGGGCUCAAACGACACAGGAAUACUUUUGAAAGGAGGUAGCUCUACGGAGCCUGUGUCGAGGUGCUGCAUGGUUGUCGUCAGCUCGUGCCGUGAGGUGUCGGCUUAAGUGCCAUAACGAGCGCAACCCCCAUCGCCAGUUACCAGCAAGUCAAGUUGGGGACUCUGGCGAGACUGCCGGCGCAAGCUGUGAGGAAGGCGGGGAUGACGUCAAAUCAGCACGGCCCUUACGUCCGGGGCGACACACGUGUUACAAUGGCAGGUACAGAGAGAAGCAAUGCGGCGACGCAAAGCGGAACUUGAAAGCCUGUCUCAGUUCGGAUUGGAGUCUGCAACUCGACUCCAUGAAGCUGGAUUCGCUAGUAAUCGCGCAUCAGCCAUGGCGCGGUGAAUACGUUCCCGGGCCUUGUACACACCGCCCGUCAAGCCAUGGAAGCCGGGAGUGCCUGAAGUGUGCAACCGCAAGGAGCGCCCUAAGGUAAAACUGGUGACUGGGGCUAAGUCGUAACAAGGUA
rnacentral:rRNA from 1 species